rnacentral:rRNA from 1 species
CCUACGGGAGGCAGCAGUCGAGAAUCAUUCACAAUGGGGGAAACCCUGAUGGUGCGACGCCGCGUGGGGGAAUGAAGGUCUUCGGAUUGUAAACCCCUGUCAUGUGGGAGCAAAUUAAAAAGAUAGUACCACAAGAGGAAGAGACGGCUAACUCUGUGCCAGCAGCCGCGGUAAUACAGAGGUAUCAAGCGUUGUUCGGAAUCACUGGGCGUAAAGCGUGCGUAGGCUGUUUCGUAAGUCGGGUGUGAAAGGCGCGGGCUCAACCCGCGGACGGCAAAGGAAACUGCGAGACUAGAGUGAUGGAGGGGGAACCGGAAUUCUCGGUGUAGCAGUGAAAUGCGUAGAUAUCGAGAGGAACACUCGUGGCGAAGGCGGGUUCCUGGACAUUAACUGACGCUGAGGCACGAAGGCCAGGGGAGCGAAAGGGAUUAGAUACCCCAGUAGUC